rnacentral:rRNA from 1 species
UACGAAGGGGGCUAGCGUUGCUCGGAAUGACUGGGCGUAAAGGGCUCGUAGGUGGCCAACUAAGUCAGACGUGAAAUCCCCUCAGCUUAACUGGGGAACUGCGUCUGAUACUGGAUGGCUUGAGUUUGGGAGAGGGAUGCGGAAUUCCAGGUGUAGCGGUGAAAUGCGUAGAUAUCUGGAGGAACACCGGUGGCGAAGGCGGCAUCCUGGACCAACACUGACACUGAGGAGCGAAAGCCAGGGGAGCAAACGGG